rnacentral:rRNA from 1 species
AGCGAACGCUGGCGGUAGGCCUAACACAUGCAAGUCGAACGGCAGCACAGGAGAGCUUGCUCUCUGGGUGGCGAGUGGCGGACGGGUGAGGAAUACAUCGGAAUCUACUUUUUCGUGGGGGAUAACGUAGGGAAACUUACGCUAAUACCGCAUACGACCUACGGGUGAAAGCAGGGGAUCUUCGGACCUUGCGCGAUUGAAUGAGCCGAUGUCGGAUUAGCUGGUUGGCGGGGUAAAGGCCCACCAAGGCGACGAUCCGUAGCUGGUCUGAGAGAAUGAGCAGCCACACUGGAGCUGAGACACGGUCCAGACUCCUCCGGGAGGCAGCAAUGGGGAAUAUUGGACAAUGGGGGGAAGCCUGAUCCAGCCAUACCGCGUGGGUGAAGAAGGCCUUCGGGUUGUAAAGCCCUUUUGUUGGGAAAGAAAUCCAGCUGGUUAAUACCCGGUUGGGAUGACGGUACCCAAAGAAUAAGCACCGGCUAACUUCGUGCCAGCCGCCGCCGUAA